UUCAGCUAUACCUUUGUGUUUAGUCCUAGUAAACAAAUGUUAGCACAUUGAAUAAAUAACAUUGAUUUUAGCUCUCAAAGCACCGCUGUGCAGCCUCACAGACCCACUGGCACGGCUGUGAAGGGGUAUUACUUAUAUAUAUUGCACUCACACUGUUGCUCACUGUCCAUCCUGUAGUUCUGGGGAGGAAGACGACAACUGGUGUCCUCCGCUGCCCGCCAGGACCUACCUGAUGGACUCUUCCAGGGAGGAACUCUCCAGCCCGCCCUCCAAACCGGCCGAGCUGCCCUACGCGGCAACGCUGACGUGCGCCGCCCAGCGAGACGCACGCAGCCCGCGGCUGCAGCACUUGGACCUGUUGGCCCGUCACCACUCGUCCUCCAAGGUGUCCCAGUCCAACCCGGACCUGUUUGCCGCCCCCAGGGCCCAGGCGGCAGGGGAGAUCUACCUCGCCAGCCAAUGGGCAGACGAUUUCAACGGACAAUCUUGUGCUCCAACUGCCGGCUCCAGCCCUGCAGUCCAGGCACACAGAUCCAAGAGUAAGAAGAAGACACUUAAAGAUGGACAACCCAGACGAGAGCUACACAGCCAAGCAGAUGACCCCCUGCGGCUCUUGGCGGAUGGUUUGAGCCGCAGCCGGACAGACACUGAAAGUAAAGCGGGAAGCGACUCACCGACCCUUGAGAAGAGCGGACAACGUUUAUCACCCGAAAGAAUAGGACCUACAGAGUUGUUAUCACAGGAUGAGGAUUUAAUCCCAUACGGACAGCCCAGCUUUCUGCCCCAGGUCCAGAUGUCCGGCUACGGUUCCCUGGGAGGGGGAGUCCUGUCACGCCCCUCCACCACCGGCCGGAGGAGAGAUGAGGUACGUCUAAACCUGAACGAAAUUGUAUAG
ensembl:lncRNA